rnacentral:pre_miRNA from 1 species
UUAGUACUCCCUCCAUCCGGAAAUACUUGUCAUCAAAAUGAAUAAAAAGGGAUGCAUCUAGACGUAUUUUAGUUCUAGAUACAUCCCUUUUUAUCCAUUUUGAUGACAAGUAUUUUUGGACGGAGGGAGUAUAUA